rnacentral:rRNA from 1 species
UACGGGGGGGGCAAGCGUUGUUCGGAAUUACUGGGCGUAAAGGGCUCGUAGGCGGCCAACUAAGUCGGAUGUGAAAUCCCCAGGCUUAACCUGGGAACUGCAUCCGAUACUGGAUGGCUUGAAUCCGGGAGAGGGAUGCGGAAUUCCAGGUGUAGCGGUGAAAUGCGUAGAUAUCAGGAGGAACACCUGUGGUGUAGACGGCUUUCUGGACCAUAGCUGACGCUGAGACACGAAAGCGUGGGUAGCAAACAGG